UACGUAGGAGGCGAGCGUUGUCCGGAAUUACUGGGCGUAAAGCGCGUGUAGGCGGUCUGAAUAGUCUGCUGUGAAAGCGCCUGGCUUAACCGGGCGAGGUCGGCGGAAACUCUCAGACUGGAGGCCGGUAGAGGGGGGUGGAAUUCCCGGUGUAGUGGUGAAAUGCGUAGAGAUCGGGAGGAACACCUGUGGCGAAGGCGGCCCCCUGGGCCGCGCCUGACGCUGAGACGCGAAGGCUAGGGGAGCGAACGGGG
rnacentral:rRNA from 1 species